rnacentral:rRNA from 1 species
GAGUUUGAUCCUGGCUCAGAUUGAACGCUGGCGGCAGGCCUAACACAUGCAAGUCGAGCGGCAGCGGGUCCUUCGGGAUGCCGGCGAGCGGCGGACGGGUGAGUAAUGCCUAGGAAUCUGCCUGUUAGUGGGGGAUAACUCGGGGAAACUCGAGCUAAUACCGCAUACGUCCUACGGGAGAAAGUGGGGGAUCUUCGGACCUCACGCUAACAGAUGAGCCUAGGUCGGAUUAGCUAGUUGGUGGGGUAAAGGCUCACCAAGGCGACGAUCCGUAACUGGUCUGAGAGGAUGAUCAGUCACACUGGAACUGAGACACGGUCCAGACUCCUACGGGAGGCAGCAGA